AUGGGAACGCGAAGAACCUUACCUACUCUUGACAUCCAGAGAACUUAGCAGAGAUGCUUUGGUGCCUUCGGGAACUCUGAGACAGGUUCUGCAUGGCUGUCGUCAGCUCGUGUUGUGAAAUGUUGGGUUAAGUCCCGCAACGAGCGCAACCCUUAUCCUUUGUUGCCAGCGGUUAGGCCGGGAACUCAAAGGAGACUGCCAGUGAUAAACUGGAGGAAGGUGGGGAUGACGUCAAGUCAUCAUGGCCCUUACGAGUAGGGCUACACACGUGCUACAAUGGCGCAUACAAAGAGAAGCGACCUCGCGAGAGCAAGCGGACCUCAUAAAGUGCGUCGUAGUCCGGAUUGGAGUCUGCAACUCGACUCCAUGAAGUCGGAAUCGCUAGUAAUCGUAGAUCAGAAUGCUACGGUGAAUACGUUCCCGGGUCUUGUACACACCG
rnacentral:rRNA from 1 species